AUACGAAGGGGGCUAGCGUUGCUCGGAAUUACUGGGCGUAAAGGGCGCGUAGGCGGAUCGUUUAAGUCAGAGGUGAAAUCCCAGGGCUCAACCCUGGAACUGCCUUUGAUACUGGCGAUCUUGAGUAUGAGAGAGGUAUGUGGAACUCCGAGUGUAGAGGUGAAAUUCGUAGAUAUUCGGAAGAACACCAGUGGCGAAGGCGACAUACUGGCUCAUUACUGACGCUGAGGCGCGAAAGCGUGGGGAGC
rnacentral:rRNA from 1 species